UACGUAGGGUGCGAGCGUUGUCCGGAAUUACUGGGCGUAAAGAGCUCGUAGGUGGUUUGUCGCGUUGUCCGUGAAAACUCACAACUCAAUUGUGGGCGUGCGGGCGAUACGGGCAGACUGGAGUACUGCAGGGGAGACUGGAAUUCCUGGUGUAGCGGUGGAAUGCGCAGAUAUCAGGAGGAACACCGGCGGCGAAAGCGGCCUUCUGGACGAGGACUGACGCUGAGGCACGAAAGCGUGGGUAGCAAACAGG
rnacentral:rRNA from 1 species